UACGAAGGGGGCUAGCGUUGCUCGGAAUUACUGGGCGUAAAGGGAGCGUAGGCGGAUAGUUUAGUCAGAGGUGAAAGCCCAGGGCUCAACCCUGGAAUUGCCUUUGAUACUGGCUAUCUUGAGUACGGGAGAGGUGUGUGGAACUCCGAGUGUAGAGGUGAAAUUCGUAGAUAUUCGGAAGAACACCAGUGGCGAAGGCGACACACUGGCCCGUUACUGACGCUGAGGCUCGAAAGCGUGGGGAGCAAACAGGG
rnacentral:rRNA from 1 species